AGAGUUUGAUCCUGGCUCAGAAUCAACGCUGGCGGCAUGCCUAACACAUGCAAGUCGAACGAGAAAGUGGAGCAAUCCAUGAGUAAAGUGGCGUACGGGUGAGUAACACGUGACUAACCUACCCUCGAGUGGGGAAUAACCUCGGGAAACCGGGGCUAAUACCGCAUGACAUCGAUGAGUGCAAUUCUUGUCGAUCAAAGCAGUAAUGCGCUUGAGGAGGGGGUCGCGGCUGAUUAGCUAGUUGGCGGGGUAACGGCCCACCAAGGCAGUGAUCAGUAUCCGGCCUGAGAGGGCGCACGGACACACUGGGACUGAAACACGGCCCAGACUCCUACGGGAGGCAGCAGUGGGGAAUUUUGCACAAUGGGGGAAACCCUGAUGCAGCAACGCCGCGUGGAGGAUGAAGCCCUUUGGGGCGUAAACUCCUUUCGAUCGGGACGAUAAUGACGGUACCGGAAGAAGAAGCACCGGCUAACUCUGUGCCAGCAGCCGCGGUAAUACAGAGGGUGCGAGCGUUGUUCGGAAUUAUUGGGCGUAAAGGGCGCGUAGGCGGUGCGGUAAGUCUGCGGUGAAAUCUCCCGGCUCAACUGGGAGGCUGCCGUGGAAACUGCCGUGCUUGAGUGUGGGAGAGGUGAGUGGAAUUCCCGGUGUAGCGGUGAAAUGCAUAGAUAUUACACAGAACACCGAUUGCGAAGGCAGCUUACUAAUCUACAACUGACACUGAGGCACGAAAGCGUGGGGAUCAAACAGGAUUAGAUACCCUGGUAGUCCACGCUGUAAACGAUGAUCACUCGCUGUUUGCGAUAUACAGUAAGCGGCUAAGCGAAAGCGAUAAGUGAUCCACCUGGGGAGUACGAUCGCAAGGUUGAAACUCAAAGGAAUUGACGGGGGCCCGCACAAGCGGAGGAACAUGUGGUUUAAUUCGAUGAUACGCGAGGAACCUUACCUGGGCUUAAAUGGGGAGUGACAGCUGGCGAAAGUUGGUUUUCUUCGGACACUCUUCAAGGUGCUGCAUGGUUGUCGUCAGCUCGUGCCGUGAGGUGUCGGGUUAAGUCCCAUAACGAGCGCAACCCUUACUGUUAGUUGCCAGCGGGUAGAGCCGGGAACUCUAACGGGACUGCCACCGUAAGGUGAGAGGAAGGUGGGGAUGACGUCAAAUCAGCACGGCCCUUAUGUCCAGGGCUACACACGUGUUACAAUGGCCGGUACAAAGGGCAGCUACACCGCGAGGUGAUGCUAAUCUCGAAAGCCGGUCUCAGUUCGGAUCGAAGUCUGCAACCCGACUUCGUGAAGUUGGAUUCGCUAGUAAUCGCGCAUCAGCCAUGGCGCGGUGAAUACGUUCCCGGGUCUUGUACACACCGCCCGUCACACCAUGGGAGUCAUUUGCUCCAGAAGUCGGUCACCCAACCGUAAGGAGGGAGCCGCCGAAGGAGUGGAUGGUGACUGGGGUGAAGUCGUAACAAGGUAACC
rnacentral:rRNA from 1 species